CCCGUUUUAACAAGCCUGCAUCGGGUGGCGACUUGGGACCAGAAUGCACGUACCAAGCAGAAAUUGCGGAGGAGAAAACCCACAACUAGUGUGGCAGCAUUUCAAUCUUCACACAGCCAGAAAGGUGACCGCAGCAAAGCUGAGCUCUCCUGGAAACACCGGAGCAUCUGAAGAGGAGGCGCGUAACGUUGUGUCUCUGUGGAUGAUGAAGACUCGUCUCGUGUUGUCCCGGGGUGUUGCAGUACUGGCGUGAAAGCUGCUCCGUCACUAAAACAGCAGAUCAGCUGUUUAUCAGGACGUGAUUUCAGUGGAACUUUCUGUUGCUGCAGCAGAAAUGUUCAUUAAAAGAUGCAUUUUUGAAAGCAGUAUUUAUUUUAUUGUCUUGACUGUUAAUUAGCACGUGCCUAAAACAACCUCAGGUUUAAUUUAAAGCUAAUAGCGUCAUUUUGCUAUUCAUAAUCCAAAUAGUCCAUUAUUCGUUUCAAUAAUCAAAUAUCAUAAUAGUCGUUAGUUGCAGCCCUAGAAUCUACUGACAUGAGUAUUUUCCAGUGUUUUCUAUGUAUUUCCAGGGAGACAGAAAUAACACUUAGUAUUUUAUUUUGAAUGCCCCACAAUAUGAAUACAUUUUGAUUCUAUCUUUCAUUUUGUUGGUAACCAUUGUACAAUCGCAAUAUUACAAGAGGGUGAACUUUGCCAUCAUUAUUGGCACGGCUGUGAUGCGGU